rnacentral:lncRNA from 1 species
GGGCCGCUGACGCUCUUGGCUGGCGAGGCCGUACCCGCUGCGGAGCUGCGCGCUGGGCGGCGGCGGCGGUGGCGGAGGCUACAAUGGGGCUUCUGUGUGUGUGUGUGUGUGCCCCUGCCGCCGCCGCCGCCGCCGCCUCCCGCGGGGACCCGGGGAGGGAAACGAAGAGAGAAGGGGAAUCCCGGCCUACUUCCUUUUCCGGAUGGGGGCGACCUCUUUGUGCGAACCAGGGAGCGUGACCCGCACAUCUGGCGCACAUCUGGGGAUGCGGCUGCGAGAGGGAGCGCGGCGGCGGCGGCGGAGGAAGAGGAGACGACCGAGCAUCGGGGCGGGUGGGAGGCCCGGGCAGGUGGUGAAAAAAAAAAUUAAAAAUUUUUAUAAAGAUCUGGAAGGUUUACUUCAUCUGGAAGGCAGGAAGAUCUGAAAGAAUUGUAGCACAAUUUGGAUUUCUCACCCUGUAAUUCAUUAUUUUAAUUGCAAUGCAGGCACAGCUGCUUGCCUCUUUUGUCCCACCCUAGUAUGUAUGUAUGUAUGUAUGUAUCUAUCUAUCUAUAUCAUAUGUAGUAUGUCUUUUCUGUAUACCUACACAUAUUGUCUAUAGCAUAAAUCUGAUUCAUGCUUAUGAUCUAAUAACUGGCAUGCUAUUGACAUAGACAUAAGGCCUCUAUUGAAACUAUUUUAAUUUUCAUGGGGUUGGAAAAUGAUGUCCCUGAGGGUUGUAGAAUGAUAGUUACACUAAUCUUCCUUUUUUCUUCUUUUCUGAGCCUGAAUUAGCCUAUCAUUGUGUGAAUAGCUGAAAAACUUAUUCCUCAUUUUUACAGCAUCUGAUUUUAUUUGUAAAGAAUAAGAAUCACUGUUAAUCUACAAAUAUUUCACCUGUCAAGCAGUAAGCUGCUCUGCUAUUUGCAAUUUUCUGUUUUAUCUUGUUAGCAUGAUUACCAUAUAAAAAUCACAUAAAAAUUCUACCUUGCUUUUAAAUACUUUAAUUUAAGAUUGACAGUGACUUGUUUAAUUAAACGUACUUUCUUUUGGUGUUCCUGUAUUUAGAAAUUGAAAUAUAGUAUUUCACUACCUUUAUAAGAUUGUGUUUGCAUUUAUUUAAUUUAGAGUUCUUUUUAAAAGCAUGUAGCCUUGAAUGUUUGUUCUACAUUUUUUUUUUCCACAUCAUUACUCUGGUACUGCUUGAUGUAACUUGAUUAGCUCCCUCCCCAGUCAUGAUUGGUAAUUAAAAUAGGCAUUAAAAUUAGUCACUUAGCAAUUUUGCUGUUCAAUUGGCAAUUAAAUUACUUAAUUGCAAUUAAAGUCCUAAUUUUAAUUGGC